CCGCCCGCCGCAGCCCUGAGGGCCCCUCUGCGUGUUCACAGCGGACCUUGAUUUAAUGUCUACACAAUUAAGGCACGCGGUGAAUGCCAAGAGAGGCGCCUCCGCCGCGCCUUUCUCAUG
rnacentral:precursor_RNA from 15 species